rnacentral:lncRNA from 1 species
CAACUUUUAAAAAUAAAACGCCAUUCCUUUCUUUAGGCUGGCGAGAUUUCAACAACUUUUAAAAAUAAAACGCCUUUCCUCUCUUCAGGCGGGCUCCUGACCUCAACAACAACUUUGAAAAAUAAAACGUCUUUCCUCUCUUCAGGCGGGCUCCUGACUUCAACAACAACUUUGAAAAUAAAAUGCCAUUCCUUUCUUUAGGUUGGCGAGAUUUAAACAACUUUAAAAAUAAAACGUCUUUCCUCUCUUCAAGCGGGCUCCUGACCUCAACAACAACUUUGAAAAUAAAAUG